CACGAAGUAGUUUAAUUAGAAUAUCA
rnacentral:tRNA from 1 species